UACGUAGGGUGCAAGCGUUGUCCGGAAUUAUUGGGCGUAAAGAGCUCGUAGGCGGUCUGUCGCGUCUGCUGUGAAAACUCAGGGCUUAACCCUGAGCUUGCAGUGGGUACGGGCAGACUAGAGUGCGGUAGGGGAGACUGGAAUUCCUGGUGUAGCGGUGAAAUGCGCAGAUAUCAGGAGGAACACCGGUGGCGAAGGCGGCACUCUGGGCCGGUACUGACGCUGAGGAGCGAAAGCGUGGGGAGCGAACAGG
rnacentral:rRNA from 1 species